CCUACGGGAGGCAGCAGUGGGGGAUAUAGCACAAUGGGGGAAACCCUGAUGCAGCGACGCCGCGUGGGUGAAGAAGCGCCUCGGCGCGUAAAGCCCUGUCAGCAGGGAAGAAAAUGACGGUACCUGAAGAAGAAGCCCCGGCUAACUACGGGCCAGCAGCCGCGGUAAUACGUAGGGGGCAAGCGUUAUCCGGAUUUACUGGGUGUAAAGGGGGCGCAGACGGCGAUGCAAGCAAGGAGUGAAAGCCCGGGGCCCAACCCCGGGACUGCUCUUGGAACUGCGUGGCUAGAGUGCAGGAGGGGCAGGCGGAAUUCCUGGGGUAGCGGUGAAAUGCGUAGAUAUCAGGAGGAACACCGGUGGCGAAGGCGGCCUGCUGGACUGCAACUGACGUUGAGGCCCGAAAGCGUGGGGAGCAAACAGGAUUAGAUACCCUUGUAGUC
rnacentral:rRNA from 1 species